AGUGAACGCUGGCGGCGUGCUUAACACAUGCAAGUCGAACGAGAAACGGAUUUAGCUUGCUAAAUUGCAGUCUAAGUGGCGCACGGGUGAGUAAUGUAUAGGUAAUAUGCCUCUUACUAAGGGAUAACAAUUGGAAACGAUUGCUAAUACCUUAUAUGCCUUUAAUACGAAAGUAUGCAAGGGAGAGAUUUAUUGGUAAGAGAUUAGCCUGUAUGGUAUCAGCUUGUUGGUGAGGUAAUGGCUCACCAAGGCUAUGACGCCUAACUGGUUUGAGAGGAUGAUCAGUCACACUGGAACUGAGACACGGUCCAGACUCCUACGGGAGGCAGCAGUGGGGAAUAUUGCACAAUGGACGAAAGUCUGAUGCAGCAACGCCGCGUGGAGGAUGACACAUUUCGGUGCGUAAACUCCUUUUAUAUAGGAAGAUAAUGACGGUACUAGAUGAAUAAGGACCGGCUAAUUCCGUGCCAGCCGCCGCGGUAA
rnacentral:rRNA from 1 species